GAAAUGCGAUAAGUAAUGUGAAUUGCAGAAUUCAGUGAAUCAUCGAAUCUUUGAACGCACCUUGCGCUCCUUGGUAUUCCUUGGAGCAUGCCUGUUUGAGUAUCAUGAAAUCUUCAAAGUAAAUCUUUUGUUAACUCAAUUGGUUUCUACUUUGGUAUUGGAGGUCUUUGCAGCUUCACACCUGCUCCUCUUUGUUCAUUAGCUGGAUCUCAGUGUUAUGCUUGGUUCGACUCGGCGUGAUAAGUUAUCUAUCGCUGAGGACACUGUAAAAGGUGGCCAAGGUAAAUGCAGAUGAACCGCUUCUAAUAGUCCAUUGACUUGGACAAUACUUUUAUGAUCUGAUCUCAAAUCAGGUAGGACUACCCGCUGAACUUAAGC
rnacentral:misc_RNA from 1 species